rnacentral:rRNA from 1 species
UACGAAGGGUGCAAGCGUUAAUCGGAAUUACUGGGCGUAAAGCGUGCGUAGGCGGUUGUUUAAGUCUGCUGUGAAAUCCCCGGGCUUAACCUGGGAAUGGCAUUUGUGACUGCACGGCUAGAGUGUGUCAGAGGGGGGUAGAAUUCCACGUGUAGCAGUGAAAUGCGUAGAGAUGUGGAGGAAUACCGAUGGCGAAGGCAGCCCCCUGGGAUAACACUGACGCUCAUGCACGAAAGCGUGGGGAGCAAACAGG